ACGGCAGCAUGACCUAGCUUGCUAGGUUGAUGGCGAGUGGCGAACGGGUGAGUAAUGCAUCGGAACGUGCCUUUUAGUGGGGGAUAACGUAGCGAAAGUUACGCUAAUACCGCAUAUUCUCUGAGGAGGAAAGCAGGGGACCUUCGGGCCUUGCGCUAGAAGAGCGGCCGAUGUCGGAUUAGCUAGUUGGUGAGGUAAAGGCUCACCAAGGCAACGAUCCGUAGCGGGUCUGAGAGGAUGAUCCGCCACACUGGGACUGAGACACGGCCCAGACUCCUACGGGAGGCAGCAGUGGGGAAUUUUGGACAAUGGGCGCAAGCCUGAUCCAGCCAUGCCGCGUGAGUGAAGAAGGCCUUCGGGUUGUAAAGCUCUUUCGGCUGGGAAGAAAUCGCACUCUCUAAUACAGGGUGUGGAUGACGGUACCAGCAUAAGAAGCACCGGCUAACUACGUGCCAGCAGCCGCGGUAAUACGUAGGGUGCGAGCGUUAUUCGGAAUUACUGGGCGUAAAGCGUGCGCAGGCGGUUGUGUAAGACAGACGUGAAAUCCCCGGGCUCAACCUGGGAACUGCGUUUGUGACUGCACGGCUAGAGUACGGCAGAGGGGGGUGGAAUUCCACGUGUA
rnacentral:rRNA from 1 species